CCUACGGGAGGCAGCAGUGGGGAAUAUUGGACAAUGGGCGCAAGCCUGAUCCAGCAAUGCCGCGUGAGUGAUGAAGGCCUUAGGGUUGUAAAGCUCUUUUACCAGGGAUGAUAAUGACAGUACCUGGAGAAUAAGCUCCGGCUAACUCCGUGCCAGCAGCCGCGGUAAUACGGAGGGAGCUAGCGUUGUUCGGAAUUACUGGGCGUAAAGCGUACGUAGGCGGUUAUUCAAGUCAGAGGUGAAAGCCCGGGGCUCAACCCCGGAACUGCCUUUGAAACUAGGUAGCUAGAAUCUUGGAGAGGUCAGUGGAAUUCCGAGUGUAGAGGUGAAAUUCGUAGAUAUUCGGAAGAACACCAGUGGCGAAGGCGACUGACUGGACAAGUAUUGACGCUGAGGUACGAAAGCGUGGGGAGCAAACAGGAUUAGAUACCCUGGUAGUCCACGCCGUAAACGAUGAUAACUAGCUGUCCGGUCACUUGGUGACUGGGUGGCGCAGCUAACGCAUUAAGUUAUCCGCCUGGGGAGUACGGUCGCAAGAUUAAAACCUUAAGGAAUUGACGG
rnacentral:rRNA from 1 species